UUCAGGACUAGAGCAUCCAAACCCAGGGAAGCCCUUCACUGCCAGAGGCUUUCCCCGACACUGCUACCUCCCAGACAGCGACAAAGGACGCAAGGUGCUGAGACUGCUCCUAGUAGCGUGGGACCGCAGGUUGAUCUUUUCAGUUGGUACUUCGAGCACUACGGGAGAAUCUGACACUGUCAUCUGGAAUGAGGUCCACCAUAAGACAGAGUUUGGCUCCAACCUGACGGGCCACGGCUUCCCCGACCCUGGACACCUCGACAACGUUCUGGAAGAGCUUCGAGCUCAGGGCAUCACAGAGGAUGAUGGACUGAUGGAAAAGUGAAAGGAUCAAAGACCAGCAGAGAAAGAGGAGACAUCAGCGAGAGCAGUGGAGAGUGGAAGGGUGAAUAAGAAGUAAAGGAAGAGAAGUGGACCUAACCAUGAAAAUAACAGAAGUAGAAGGAGGAACAUAGGAGGUCCUGGACUGAAAGGGACUCUCUCUGCCAGCACUUAUAAGGGGUGCAAGGGGACUUUUCGGGAUAUAGAAGAUACUGAUUUUGUUUUGCAGAGGUAACCACUUUUCAAGAUACUGAUUCAAUCACUGCUGGGUUCGCCUGUUAAUGCAAGUUUGUCCAGACAUCA